GGAUAGCUCAGUCUGUAGAGCAUGAGACUCUUCAUCUCAGGGUCUUGGGUUUGAACCCCAUCUUGGGCA